rnacentral:rRNA from 1 species
UACGGGGGGGGUAAGCGUUGUUCGGAAUUACUGGGCGUAAAGGGCUCGUAGGCGGCCAACUAAGUCAGACGUGAAAUCCCUCAGCUUAACUGGGGAACUGCGUCUGAUACUGGAUGGCUUGGAUUCGGGAGAGGGAAUGCGGAAUUCCGAGGUGUAGCGGUGAAAUGCGUAGAUAUCUGGAGGAACACCGGUGGCGAAGGCGGCAUUCUGGACCGAUAUUGACGCUGAGGAGCGAAAGCCAGGGGAGCAAACGGGG